rnacentral:lncRNA from 1 species
AGUAAAAGCACAAAGGACACUGCUGAGAACUGGCUGGAUCACACUGUCAGCCAAGAAAAGGAAGGACGAAUGAGGCUGAAGAGACUGCAGGGCUGCAGAUGAAAUAUCCAGACCUAUGCAUCCUCAUGUGGGAUGAGUGGGUUCCGGCAAAAUUUAAGAGGCUAAUGAUGGGAUGGAGGGGUUGGCAGCAGCACAGCAUAGCAGAAUUUUCUGAUUCACUACCACUGCUGGUGUUACAGCGUGAACGUGACCUGAAGACAAAAAGGCUGUACAGAAUCAUUGUCACUUCCACAGGAGGGGUUUCGGCGACGCGUGUAAGGGAACUUUGGCGACUUAGUGCGAUCACUGGGAGAAUUGUAGAGUCCACUGGAGAGAAAGAAAAAUGGUCAAAAAGAGCCCAGAGAGUUCCUGGGGGAAAACACACCGCAGCCCAGACCUAUUCAUAACUGCACAGCUGGUACUUCCAGAGGCACAUGCACCAGGGGCACGUGGUUCUCUUUGCUGACAAGAUUUAUUAAAAGAAAAGAGUUAUCCUACUGAUGCUGUUUGAUUCUAGCAGAGGAGGAGAAGGAAAGAUGGAAGAGAGAGGAAACAGUGAUAAGGAAAUGAAAGAAACAGAAGACUUAUUUUAAAAUGCAAUUUUAGGGACACUGUG